rnacentral:lncRNA from 1 species
ACUAUUGAGCCAAACCCAUAUGUAUUAUCAAGAUUAAUUAUAUUUUCAUAUAUAUUAUAUGUAGUUAUCAUCAUCUUAUGUUGUCGGUUAUAAAUUAGUUCAGCUCAAAUUUUCAGAUCAUUUUCACAUACGAGAAAAGAAGCGUUAGUUCUCUUGAAACUGCCACUUGCGUUGUUUUAUUUUUAUUUAUAGACAAAUCGAAAGAAUUAAUAUUUUAUACAACAGUAGACCCGUAGCAAAGCAACAUUGGGCACACAAAUCAGUCUUCUAUGAUACUAUAUGUAUAUGAAUUACAAAGAUACUUGAGCCCAUAACAAUGUCAAAUCAAGCUAUUGCCUAUUUGUGAAACGGUGAACUAAUUGUACGAUGAAAGAGAAAUAAAAAUUAAUCUAACAUACAUAAUACUUCUACAAGGUGCAUCUUUCCAAAAUUCAGCUCCAGAAAGUAAAUUUAAUCAAGCUUUUCUAAGAAUUCAUACUACUAUUCCCUUUUUUUAAAAUUUAAUGGAGAAAUGAUAUCGAUAUGUAUCCCCUAAAUUUGGUGAAACUAUCACGUAUUAACACCCUUGCAAUUCACUAUACCCUUUUCUGUUGCUUAAAAUUGUUUUUUUUUUUAAUACUGUUUAUACAGGACUGUAGGUAUUACAAUUAAUAUUUACACAUAAAUUCUACAAUUGGGACCUUCAUCGUGGCAUGUACUCCUCUGAAGCGCUGCCCAAAUUCUUCAAACCCUCUCAAAUAUUUGAGAGCUGUCCACUCUACUCACAUUUCGUGAGGAAUAGACUGGCUCCACUCAAUUAUGUGAUAAUUGAGGAAGGAUUGUAAAUAAGCCCCAUAAAUACUUUUAUGGAGGCUCGAACCCUUGCACUCAUUAUUCUAAGUGCAAUGGCUCUCCCACUGGACCAAAGACCCAUUUGUCUGUUGCUAAAAAUUGUUAAAAUGACAAGUUAAUUACCUUUAACUGAUGUGAAUGUGAUCAUUCAAUAAAAAAUAAAUAAAAAAUUGCAUCUUUAUG